AGCAGUCGCCACGGUAAUACGAGGGGGGCGAGCGUUGUUCGGAAUUAUUGGGCGUAAAGGGCGCGUAGGCGGUUUGGCAAGUUUCGUGUGAAAUCUUCGGGCUCAACUCGAAGUCUGCACGGAAAACUGCCGGGCUUGAGUAUGGGAGAGGUGAGUGGAAUUUCCGGUGUAGCGGUGAAAUGCGUAGAUAUCGGAAGGAACACCUGUGGCGAAAGCGGCUCACUGGACCAUAACUGACGCUGAGGCGCGAAAGCUAGGGGAGCAAACAGGAUUAGAUACCCCCGUAGUCCCUGUCUCUUAUAA
rnacentral:rRNA from 1 species